AUUGAACGCUAGCGGCAGGCUUUACACAUGCAAGUCGAACGAGUGGCGGACGGGUGAGUAAUAUAUCGGAACGUGCCCAAUAGAGGGGGAUAACUACUGGAAACAGUAGCUAAUACCGCAUACUAUUGGAUCUGCCGAUAUGGGAUUGGCUAGUUGGUGGGGUAAAGGCUCACCAAGGCAAAGAUCCCUAGCUGGUCUGAGAGGAUGACCAGCCACACUGGGACUGAGACACGGCCCAGACUCCUACGGGAGGCAGCAGUGGGGAAUUUGGGACAAUGGGGGAAACCCUGAUCCAGCCAUGCCGCGUGUAUGAGAAGGCCUUCGGGGUGUAAAGUACUUUUGGCAGAGAGGCGUUAUCUGCAGAAUAAGCACCGGCUAACUACGUGCCAGCAGCCGCGGUAAUUC
rnacentral:rRNA from 1 species